rnacentral:lncRNA from 1 species
AUGAGCAGAAGUUUUUGCUUUUCUGAUUGGGCUGUAGCAGAAAUCAAAUAUAAAGCCAGUAAGCUUGGACUUAAGCUUUGCAUUGAGGGCUGCAGUUCAGGAUUUGGUGAAUUACACAUGGGAGAGCCAUACUCUGUGAUACUUUUUGAGGGAUGUAACAGUAACUGCAAUUACUGCUCUGAAUGCUUCAUCAGUCUGCUACAUGCUGCAGCUGAGAUUAAGACUUGGUUAGCAAGGAUGGGUUUCAGCUCACCCAGCUGGAAACACUUGCCGUGCAGAUGUACGUCAGCUAUGUGCCCUGGCUCUAUAAUCAGCGUGGAGAACUCGUGCUUAGGUCAGAUGGACCUUGCUGACAUGAGGGCCUUCUCUGGGCACAAGGGAAGCCUGCAGCAACUAACUUGGAUAUGGGUACCUUUUCUACCUCACUGCUAGAGAUGCAGUGCCAGCCAUGUCUCACAAGAAGGAAGUUUUCCCAAGCCCUAAAAUAGAAGUAAAUGCCUUCAUUGAUUGGUGGAGAAAGCUGGAGAUUAAUGAUUGGAGGACCCUUCCCCCAGUAGAAAGCAUCGAGGUGAGCAUUGUACAGGAUGGGGACAAAUCACCAUGAAACACUUUGAGAACUCUAUGUUCUCAAAUCAUAUAUGGAUUUUCAGAGUCUCACCUCUGAUUUUAGGAGUUCUAAUGAUUUGUCUUAAGAGAUACAUAUUUCCUGACGAGUAGAUGUUAAGAAUAACCUAGACUGUAGACAGAAAUGGCAUUUGGUAUACAAAAUUAGAUAAGUUUGCAUACAAAUAUGGAAAACUAAGCCCACAGGAAAGCCCAUAGGAAAGGGAAAUGUCUAUACACAGAAGGACGUGUGAGACAGGAAAGUACUUACAGUGAUUUUCCACCUUUGCAGUCAGUCUUAAAGUAGAACAGAGAGGAAGUUUACAGGCACAGGUUACAGUUUACCCCAGCUAAUGUAACAGGUGAUUCUUCCUCAGCUUCCAACUGAAGUCCUUUUUAAUUGCCAGGCAUGUCCUUGAGUUUGUGGAGGAUUAAGAAGCACUUUAAUACAGCAAUGUGAAAUGGGAAGUUGAAGAAAAACACUUUUAGUGGAAAAUUCUUUGUGUGAUUUAUUUUUCUUCUUGACAUAAUUUACUAUUAGAAGUGAAUGACUAAUAAUCUUGAUCUACCUUUCCAUAAAUCUAUAAAUAAAUGUUGAUCUUUGCAGGAGCUCAUGUCCAGCAUUGCCAACAUUACCAUAACAUGGAGCUUCACGCAGGAAGGUAUUUCAUUUGUUGAAGCAUCUGUUUUGAGGACUGGUGACUGGCAAAUGGUAAAAGGAGCUAAGAAAGGGGGACUGCCUAAAGAAAUCUCUCACGCAUGGGCAUACAGUAGACAUUCAACAAACAGUAGCUCGUUGUGUUUUUUUCUCAUCGAAACGGAGGUGUGGAAGCCUACAGGAGUUACACACACUUCUGAGCUGAUUGGAACAUCCUAGGUUCUUUUGCAUAAUGCACAUCUGCUCCCUUUAUUUUCCUUUAUUUAAACGUUGGGAAUUGUACAGUAGCAGUAAUGGCAGGUGAAAGAAUUACCAAACUAACUGAGGUGUGCGUGUUGCAGACUUGUACUGAAGCACGUACAAAUUAAACUUGUAGAACACUGUAUUAUAUUAACGACUAGUUAUAACUACAUAGGAAACCCAACAUCGUUAGUUAUCCAAUAUUAAGUUCUGUUGCUUAACCUGGUUUAUUUCUUAAUCCAUGUGGGAGGAUCUCAGAUUAAGGUGUUUAGAGGAACGUGUGCAGUUCAUAACUUUUUCAACUCGCUGUUAUUGGUAGGUACUUGUUGAUGACCAUAACCAUAGUAGCACCUUCCUAUACAUAAAGCAACUUUAUGCUCAUGGGAAUUAUCCUCUAGCUUUUUAAUGCAGAGUGAUUAAAUGGAAUAGUUUCAGUGUAAAAAUU